rnacentral:rRNA from 1 species
UGGGGAAUAUUGCACAAUGGGCGCAAGCCUGAUGCAGCCAUGCCGCGUGUGUGAAGAAGGCCUUCGGGUUGUAAAGCACUUUCAGCGAGGAGGAAGGUGGUGAGCUUAAUACGCUCAUCAAUUGACGUUACUCGCAGAAGAAGCACCGGCUAACUCCGUGCCAGCAGCCGCGGUAAUACGGAGGGUGCAAGCGUUAAUCGGAAUUACUGGGCGUAAAGCGCACGCAGGCGGUUUGUUAAGUCAGAUGUGAAAUCCCCGGGCUCAACCUGGGAACUGCAUUUGAAACUGGCAAGCUAGAGUCUCGUAGAGGGGGGUAGAAUUCCAGGUGUAGCAGUGAAAUGCGUAGAGAUCUGGAGGAAUACCGGUGGCGAAGGCGGCCCCCUGGACGAAGACUGACGCUCAGGUGCGAAAGCGUGGGGCAGCAAACAGGAUUAGAUACCCUGGUAGUCCACGCUGUAAACGAUGUCGAUUUUGGAGGUUGUGCCCUUGAGGCGUGGCUUCCGGAGCUAACGCGUUAAAUCGACCGCCUGGGGAGUACGGCCGCAAGGUUAAAACUUAAAGGAAUUGAC